rnacentral:rRNA from 1 species
CGACCCUGCCUUCGGGCGGGGGCUCCGGGUGGACACUUCAAACUCUUGCGUAACUUUGCAGUCUGAGUAAACUUAAUUAAUAAAUUAAAACUUUUAACAACGGAUCUCUUGGUUCUGGCAUCGAUGAAGAACGCAGCGAAAUGCGAUAAGUAAUGUGA